rnacentral:lncRNA from 1 species
AAAUCUGAUAUAUGAUUUUUUCAAACCGGCUCUGGGUAAUGGGUUGUUUACUAUCCCAGCAUUAAAGUGGGAAAUUCAUCGAAAAAUCCUAAAUCCAGUAUUCAAAGAACAAUUUCAUUCUACUUUUAUGGACUCGAUAUCAAAAAAUUCAAACAGACUAGCUACAAUUUUAGAAAGUACUGACGGAAAAAAUAUAGAUACCCUGCAUUACAUACAUCUAUGUACUUUGGAUAUAAUAUAUGAUAGCUUUUUAGGUCGUGAUCUUGAUUGGCAGAACAAUCCCGAAUGCAAACUUGAUGAAUAUAUGUCGGAGUAUUAAAAUAAAAAGAAUAUUUUAAUAUUUAUAAUGUAAUAGCAAUUUUAGUCCAUAUUUGUUUUCUCUUAUUGAAUUUUAAACUUAUUCAGACUCAUGGAUACUGCUUUUCUUUUUGCUAAAACAAAAUCAUAUAUUACUAAUGUAUAUAACUUUCAUUCGUC